rnacentral:lncRNA from 1 species
CGGCGCAUCAGCGACUGGCCGCGAAGCCAAUACCCCGCGAGCAAAUUGGCGCGAAGACUGGCCGCGAGCGAGUGCCCGCGAGCGAAGCGAGUUCUAGCGAAGAAUACUUCGCGAAUGCUUUUCUAGCGCGCAUUGAUCAAGUGAAGCGAACGCUCGCAAGGAACAUUAUCGCAAGAAGCAGAGCUCGCUGAGUGCACUUGGCCUAAGCCUCGCCAGUGAGGUUUGAUCCGGCGAAGCACUUUGCAAGCUAUGCACAGUCUGGCGAAGUCGAUCUAAAAGCCAGCGAGUGGUCUUCAGCGGACAACCUUCUGCCAAUCACUGUGGCAGAAGCUGAGGUAGAACCAAGCGGAAGACUUUCAAGCGAAUUCCGGAAGAGUUUACUCUGGCAGCGAGAAGAAGACAAAAUCG